rnacentral:rRNA from 1 species
GCCAGUAGCCAUAUCACCCUGCAACUCACAACUGGCGGGUCACCAGUGGGUCAUUGAAGCUCAGCAGGUGUGAGCCCGGUCAGUACCUGGAUGGGAGACCUCCUGGGAAAAACUAAGGUUGCUGCUGGAA